CAACUAAUCCCUCUGUCCCAAAUUUCUUGUCUUAGAUUUGUCUAGAUACGGAUGUAUCUAAUACUAAAAUGUGACUUGAUACAUCCAUAUCUAGACAAAUCUAAGACAAGAAUUUUGGGACGGAGGGAGUACUUU
rnacentral:pre_miRNA from 1 species